GCCACAGUAGCUCAGCUGGUAGAGCAGUCGAUUCGUAAUCGACCGGUCACGAGUUCAAAUCUCGUCUGUGGCUCAA
rnacentral:tRNA from 2 species